CUCACAACCAUCUUCAAAUCGGAGAUAUCUCCAGUUCUGAAUCUCGCCGAUGACCCCGCCUCAUCAGACUUAGCCGUAUUGCCGUAAACUGGUUGCCGCUUCAAUGAUUCAGCCCGCACCGAUGACCCGAAAUUCGGUCGGGUCCCGAUCUCGGAUCUGGACUCUCCAUCUUCAUCCUCCUCCCCUUCUUCCGAUGAGCUAGUUGUACUAUAAUGAUCAUGAUCUUCCCACUCGCUGCACUGAACCUCCUCUCUCUCUGUCUCUUCGUCGGCGGUACUGUGUUGCUUGUUACUGGUGUUGCCAUUGAUAUGGUGGUAGUUGUGCUUCUUGUUUUGUAAUUGAAAAAAAUCGUACCCAGUCUCGGUUUCGGUUUCUUCGUCUUGUAAGUCUAAGUGUUGUUGCUGGCGAUGUUGGUGAUUUUGGUUUUGAUUUUGGGCUUU
rnacentral:misc_RNA from 1 species